AACGAACGCUGGCGGCAUGCCUAACACAUGCAAGUCGAACGAGACCUUCGGGUCUAGUGGCGCACGGGUGCGUAACGCGUGGGAACCUGCCCUUAGGUUCGGAAUAACUCCCCGAAAGGGGUGCUAAUACCGGAUAAUGUCUUCGGACCAAAGUUUUAUCGCCUUUGGAUGGGCCCGCGUUGGAUUAGCUAGUUGGUAGGGUAAAAGCCUACCAAGGCGACGAUCCAUAGCUGGUUUGAGAGGAUGAUCAGCCACACUGGGACUGAGACACGGCCCAGACUCCUACGGGAGGCAGCAGUGGGGAAUAUUGGACAAUGGGCGAAAGCCUGAUCCAGCAAUGCCGCGUGAGUGAUGAAGGCCUUAGGGUUGUAAAGCUCUUUUACCCGGGAUGAUAAUGACAGUACCGGGAGAAUAAGCUCCGGCUAACUCCGUG
rnacentral:rRNA from 1 species